rnacentral:rRNA from 1 species
AGAAUCAACGCUGGCGGCGUGCCUAACACAUGCAAGUCGAACGAGAAAGUGGGGCAAUCCAUGAGUAAAGUGGCGACCGGGUGAGUAACACGUGACCAAUCUACCCUUGAGUGGGGGAUAACCUCGGGAAACCGGGGCUAAUACCGCAUAAUAUCUUCGGAACGGAAGUACUGAAGAUCAAAGGAGCAAUUCGCUUAAGGAGGAGGUCGCGGCUGAUUAGCUAGUUGGCGGGUAACGCCCACAAGGCUUUGAUCGGUA